rnacentral:rRNA from 1 species
UACGUAGGGCGCAAGCGUUAUCCGGAAUUAUUGGGCGUAAAGCGCACGUAGGCGGCCUUGUAAGUCUCACUGUGAAAGUCCGGGGCUCAACCCCGGGAUGCCAGGGGAUACUGCGAGGCUGGAGACAAGUAGAGGUUGGUAGAAUUCCGGGUGUAGCGGUGGAAUGCGUAGAGAUCCGGAGGAAUACCAGAGGCGAAGGCGGCCAACUGGGCUUGUUCUGACGCUGAGGCGCGAAAGCGUGGGGAGCGAACAGG